UAAUACACCUCUCAGAAAGCAUAUUGAUAAUAAAUGUAAUUAAUAAUUGUGGUACAUGGAGGUCAUGAAGUUUUCUAUGCAUAACUGAGAUCAGCACAUUAUCAUACGCUGAGCUGAUAUCAAGAAAGGCCGCAAGAACCGACUCAUUACUCGAGAAAGCUAGCCGAAUAUCCGAAACCAAAAUACUAAUAUUGUCUGUGGUACUACGGCCUUUUCUGAAUCCCAGCUGAUUAGCUGUCAAAAUAUUAUUAUUUUCAAUGAAAAAUUCUAACCUGUUUUUUACAAGAUGCUCAGCUAUUUUAGCAAGAACAGAGGAUAGGGCUAUUGGGCGAAAAGAAGAAACAUCAGAGGCUGGUUUGUUUGGUUUUAAUAUGGGAAUUAUAGCUUGGGUUUUCCAAGAAGAAGGAAUAUUACCAGACAACACAAUGGCAUUAAUAAUACUCAAAUAGUAGUUCAAGGAAGCGACACUGCUGUUUAUUAAGAAAGAGUUAGAAGGAGGGCAAGAGAUAGGUAAAGUAAGAACAAGUGGUAAGUGAUCACUGCCAUAAGAAUGAUCAAGUACACUCCAGGAUAUCAGAGAGGCCAUACUUGGAGAGCAAAGAGAUAGGUCAGGAGCACUAAGGCAUUCACCAGGACCAGUACGUCGAGUUGGAGUGCCAUUGUUCAAAAUACAUAUAUUUUGAGAGUCUAAAAUAUCUGCCAUCAAUUCACCAUAAUAAUUAGAACUAGUACUACCCCAUGACUGAUUUUGACAAUUGAAAUCCCCAAGUACUAAAAAUGGACUAGGUAAAGUAAUUGUGGAGGAGAGGUAGCAGCUACAUCAGCAUAAGACUUUGAUGAAGAAGGGGGAUGGACUUUAGCCGCCUCUGCAUAUGAUAUGCAGCUCUGGGCCAUUGAAAUUUUGAUUUUCUGCUGUCUAGAAAAUUCUGGACACAACUUACUAGUCGUAAAGUGGCAACCUGUGCAAUGAGGACAAC